rnacentral:rRNA from 1 species
ACGGCGAGUGAAGCGGCAAAAGCUCAAAUUUGAAAUCUAGCACCUUCGGUGUUCGAGUUGUAAUUUGAAGAUGGUAACCUUGGGUUUGGCUCUUGUCUAUGUUCCUUGGAACAGGACGUCAUAGAGGGUGAGAAUCCCGUCUGAUGAGAUGCCCAUUCCUAUGUAAGGUGCUAUCGAAGAGUCGAGUUGUUUGGGAAUGCAGCUCUAAGUGGGUGGUAAAUUCCAUCUAAAGCUAAAUAUUGGCGAGAGACCGAUAGCGAACAAGUACAGUGAUGGAAAGAUGAAAAGAACUUUGAAAAGAGAGUGAAAAAGUACGUGAAAUUGUUGAAAGGGAAGGGCAUUAGAUCAGACUUGGUGUUUUACGAUUAUCUUCUCUUCUUGAGUUGUGCACUCGUAUUUCACUGGGCCAGCAUCGAUUCGGAUGGCAAGAUAAUGGCAGUUGAAUGUGGCUUCACUUCGGUGGAGUGUUAUAGCUUCUGCUGAUAUUGCCUGUCUGGAUCGAGGGCUGCGUCUUUUGACUAGGAUGCUGGCGUAAUGAUCUAAUGCCGCC